rnacentral:misc_RNA from 1 species
UCUCCUUUACUUUCGUCGUUGCUCCCCUUGUGGCUAAAUUUGGUUCUGGAGCGCGUGCCUCAGGUCAUGGGUGGCGAUAGUGCAUAUUAUUUUAGAGGCAGUGGUGGUGGCGACGGCAGUGGUGGUGGCGGUAGUGGUGUGUAGUGAGGAGUGGUCGUUAUCUCUGCCUCUUGGAGCAACACCACCCCACCAGCCCACCACCAACCGGUCUGCAUUCACACUCAGCUCAUGAAGGCGCGGAGUGUCUGGGCGGAAGAAGAGGCUGUGGAAAGGUUGAAGCGAAGCCUUGACAUAACAGGUGCGCCGGCAAUCGUCAGCAGGUUAUGGUGCUGAGAGAGUCCCCGCUUCACACACCACCGCCCGCUAAGAGGAACGACACGAGAUCACUACCCUUGGGAACGCCAGGUGCUGUCGAUGUGGGCUUGGUGUUCCUCUUGAAACUGUCCGCAGAUACUAUUGAAAAAUGUUUAAAAGAGUAUGGUUAUGGCGGCUGCGCUCACGUUCCCAGAUCAAACCCGCCGUGGUCGUGACAGUGUGUCUCGCCGCGUCCAUCUUCGUUUUAGACAGUUCCAUGACUGCAAGAAGCGUACCUCGUGGACAUCCCUCUUAUCCCGAGGACACCACCACCACAACCACCACCACCACCACCACCACCAGCACAGUGUCCACACCACCACCGUCACUCCAGCACUCUCACAGUGAUGCAGCCCGGGCCAUGAAUUCCCACAGUGUAAUUACCGCCUUAAAAGGUGCCUCUGAUAGACUUGAAGCUAAUAUCGAGUCUGAUAAAACGACGGGAGGAAGACUCUCCAAUGAAAGACUUUUCAUUUUCAGCGAGAAUGUUGGAAAACACGGUGAAGACAUUCAUACGCAGAUUGGAGUGAGCGGAGAAUCAAAGAUAACUGAUACAAAGAGCGUGAAGAAGAGUCCGAGUCCAUCAUUUGGCUUCGUAAAUAGGGAUUUCAAGCCUCCCCCGCCGCGACAGAGGCGUGGCGGUGGCGGACUCAUGGAUGUCAUUCAGGGAUUCAUGAAGAGCGGCUCGCUGCUCGGUCCAGGAAAUCUGUUAGGAGCCAUAGCUGCUCUUAAAAAAUUCGAGACUGUCAACCAUAAGCAAAGUAAAGAUGAAAUUCAAAACGAUUCCAAAGUACCACCAGUGGGAAUCGCACGUGAUCCGGGGCGUCAUAACAGUGGCAAUAGAGAACAAAAGCCAGGCCUGUGGGAGGGAAGUGGAAGGUUUAAAGGUCAAACAGAAAAUACAAAAGACCAAAAUGGGCAAGAUCGUUUUACAGCUGCACAAAAACCGUACCGACCAACGUCUGAUGAAAGCAGAGGAAGAGGGAAGCAGGAUGGCAUGCCCUCUCACGGUCACGGCGGAUCCCCGGUAGGAAGUGUUUUGGGAUCCCUAAUUAGUAAUCUGGCCCCGAUGCUGCUGUCUAGUGGACGCACCAAGAACGACAGGCAAAUGGAAGGAGCGAGCGCUGUGUCGCAUUCUAACAACCUUCAGGCCUUAAUGGGUGGCUUAGGCCCUCUCUUCCUGGCUGGAUUUGGGGGCCUUGGAGGAAAAAGGAGAGGCCCUGACUCGCCAUCUGACUCAAUGAAGAUGAAUUCCCUACAUACAAUCAUGAGUCAGGUUGGGUCAUCUCUCAUGGCGGAGGCAGCAUUGCACCCUAACUCAAAGGUUCCUCUACAGUCUCUUUUUGCCAACCUUGGACCACCUCUCCUCUCCUUCUUUACGCAAGGGAACGAUCAGAGCGCCGACAGAAAGGGAACGGCGAACUCCAGCCCCGUGCAGGCCAUUCUAGGAGGGCUGCUUCCACUUCUUAAUCCUGGUAUGUCGCAGCAGAGUGAGCUUUCCCAUGGCAGGGACAGAAACAGGUCACCUCAAAGCCCAAUUCAAAGCAUCGUUAAUGGAAUGGGACAGAGCAUUCUUAAAAAUCAGACUGGGCUGGGUGGACUCCUGGCCGGGAUGGCGCCUGUAUUAAUGUCAGGGGCGGCGAGGCGAGGAUCGAGGACGCUACAAGAGGUGGAAGUGGAUGCUGAGGCCGGAUCUGACUACAAUGGCGUGGCGUCAUCUGGUGGUUUCGAGAGUGAAGGCGGAAGGCAGGACGCGAGCCGUGCGGCAGUGAGGCUGCUGGUGCGGGCGGCGGCGUCAUCACUCCUGCCGGAAGAACUGCCGGUACCGGAAAUUAACUCCACGAAAAGUCUGUGGGACAUGGCUGUCAAUCUGGCGUUUGGAAAUCCACGCAACUUCCACGAGAGAAACAGCAGGUUUUGGCAGUGGGUCAAGGCGUACAUGGGCGACGAAUCACGAAGGAGCAGCAGGAUCAGCGAGGACUUCAACCCAGCGUGGGUCACCGCGGCCCUCACCGCCAACGCAGCACAGCGCGAGGCAAGCGCCCACACCCUCACCAAGCUGUAUCAACGUCUGGAGGACCCACAGCCUUUGUGUCAGCACGUCCGUUCCAUAGGAGGACUCUUCAAUUGGAGGACGGGAGUGUUAGUGAACGCGAGGGACGUGUGCAUGGACUCUGACGUGGCCCCUAGGAGCAAGGGCUGCAUGGUGUACUCCUUCGGUGUAAAGGAUGAAUGGAGCUUCGAGGAGGACAUGGAGGACAUUGGCUGUGAGGUGUGGGCGUUUGACCCAACUAUGACCACGGGCAACCACAACCACUCCUCGGCCAUUCACUUCUACAAUCUGGGUCUGGCUUCGUCCUCCUCUCCCACCACCGCCACCAAGAAGGGACAGCGAUGGUACCUGUUCCCUCUGGCCGGGGUGAUGAAGAGACUGGGCCACGCCACCUCCACCAUUGACUACCUCAAGAUGGACAUUGGUGGCAGCGAGUGGCAAGUGCUGCAUGAAACGGCCACUCACAGUCGCCACGCGCUCACAAACCUGAGACAGCUUGGAGUGGAGGUUCACUUGGAGGCCGCGCUGAGGGACCCCAGCCUCUAUACUCUGUACCUUGACGUUCUGGAGGGACUGGAAGGCCUCGGAUUUCAACUAUUCUCGUCCAACGCGACUCAGAGGCACGGAUGGACCUACCACGACCCGCUGCUGGGCCGGCGGGGCCCUCGGACAAAGCAACGAAGUGAAGAAGAGCAGUGACUGUAAUGCACUACUUAAAAAUGAGAAAGAAGUCACGGUCUGCCUGCAGUUUUGUCUUGUUACCCUAUCUCGCUUGUCUCGCCGGUUUGCUACCUGUCCACGUCACAGAAGCAGGCAUGGUGUGUGAGCCCGGGUGGUUCCCCUGCCAAUCUGAGGAAGUGUGCGUGGAGCGGAGGUUCAUCUGUGACGAUCACUUCGAUUGCGUGGACCACAGUGAUGAAUGGAACUGCA